CGCACGCGAAAUCCCUGUACCGAGCCGAGCCGCGUCUGCCCAAGCCGAGCCGGUCCUGUCUUCUUCCAGCCGAGCCGCCAGGACUAAAUUGGCUCCAUCCACCUAUAUUUUGGUAAGCUAAUUAAUUAUUGUGGUUUUUCCGGUAAGACUCCAUGCUCGGACGUUAGUUAAAUUAAUUUGGAUCUAAAUUAUAUUAUUUUCCUCAAGGGACGUCUUGGACCAAGAAAUUACUGCAGCGCGGGAUUUCCUUCAGUAGGGGCUCGAGCACUGCAACCUCCUUCUAGGUUAGGACUUCGUCGCUUGGAAAGCGUACUGCCUCGCGGUUAGGACUCGACAAGUAGAUCUCCAGGUAGAGGACGAGGCAAAGGCAAGGGCAAGCUGGCGAGCGACCCGAAGUGAGACCGAGGAGGGCCAUAGGGACUACCGCUUCCGCUUAUUUCUUAUUUCAGAUUUUAGCAUUUGAGUUUGAGUACUUUUUAUUUUUCACUAUCUUUUAUGUAGAUAGGGCCCGAGUAGGAUUUCAGAACGUUUUUACAUUUUUGCAUGACUACCUUGUUUAUGUUUUUAUAAAUGAAUUUCUUGAACCGUAUGCUUUUAAUAAAAUUUUUAGACUUAAACCACUUGUUCUAUAUUUAGUAAUGACUUCGAUUCAGCAUAA